UUGCACGCUGGCGGCAGGCCUAACCCCUGCCAGUCGAACGGUAACAGGAAGCAGCUUGCUGCUUCGCUGACGAGUGGCGGACGGGUGAGUAAUGUCUGGGAAGCUGCCUGAUGGAGUGGGAUAACUACUGGAAACGGUAGCUAAUACCGCAUAAUGUCGCAAGACCAAAGAGGGGGACCUUCGGGCCUCUUGCCAUCGGAUGUGCCCAGAUGGGAUUAGCUUGUUGGUGGGGUAACGGCUCACCAAGGCGACGAUCCCUAGCUGGUCUGAGAGGAUGACCAGCCACACUGGAACUGAGACACGGUCCAGACUCCUACGGGAGGCAGCAGUGGGGAAUAUUGCACAAUGGGCGCAAGCCUGAUGCAGCCAUGCCGCGUGUAUGAAGAAGGCCUUCGGGUUGUAAAGUACUUUCAGCGGGGAGGAAGGGAGUAAAGUUAAUACCUUUGCUCAUUGACGUUACCCGCAGAAGAAGCACCGGCUAACUCCGUG
rnacentral:rRNA from 1 species